rnacentral:rRNA from 1 species
CGGCUACCACAUCCAAGGAAGGCAGCAGGCGCGCAAAUUACCCAAUCCCGACACGGGGAGGUAGUGACAAUAAAUACUGAUACAGGGCUCUUUUGGGUCUUGUAAUUGGAAUGAGUACAAUUUAAAUCCCUUAACGAGGAACAAUUGGAGGGCAAGUCUGGUGCCAGCAGCCGCGGUAAUUCCAGCUCCAAUAGCGUAUAUUAAAGUUGUUGCAGUUAAAAAGCUCGUAGUUGAACCUUGGGCCUGGCUGGCCGGUCCGCCUCACCGCGUGCACUGGUCCGGCCGGGCCUUUCCUUCUGGGGAGCCGCAUGCCCUUCACUGGGUGUGUCGGGGAACCAGGACUUUUACUUUGAAAAAAUUAGAGUGUUCAAAGCAGGCCUUUGCUCGGAUACAUUAGCAUGGAAUAAUAGAAUAGGACGUGCGGUUCUAUUUUGUUGGUUUCUAGGACCGCCGUAAUGAUUAAUAGGGAUAGUCGGGGGCGUCAGUAUUCAGCUGUCAGAGGUGAAAUUCUUGGAUUUGCUGAAGACUAACUACUGCGAAAGCAUUCGCCAAGGAUGUUUUCAUUAAUCAGGGAACGAAAGUUAGGGGAUCGAAGACGAUCAGAUACCGUCGUAGUCUUAACCAUAAACUAUGCCGACUAGGGAUCGGGCGGUGUUUCUAUGAUGACCCGCUCGGCACCUUACGAGAAAUCAAAGUUUUUGGGUUCUGGGGGGAGUAUGGUCGCAAGGCUGAAACUUAAAGAAAUUGA